rnacentral:rRNA from 1 species
UACGAAGGGGGCUAGCGUUGCUCGGAAUCACUGGGCGUAAAGGGCGCGUAGGCGGCCAUUCAAGUCAGAGGUGAAAGCCCAAGGCUCAACCUUGGAAUUGCCUUUGAUACUGUUUGGCUUGAGACCGGAAGAGGUUAGUGGAACUGCGAGUGUAGAGGUGAAAUUCGUAGAUAUUCGCAAGAACACCAGUGGCGAAGGCGGCUCACUGGCCCGGUACUGACGCUGAGGUGCGAAAGCGUGGGGAGCAAACAGG